GUCCCGGUAGCUCAGCUGGAUAGAGCAACGGACUUCUAAUCCGUCGGUCGGGGGUUCGAAUCCCUCCCGGGACGCCA
rnacentral:tRNA from 1 species